GCCGUACCAUGCUGAAUAUACCGGUUCUCGUUAGAUCACCGAGUCAAGCAUCAUUGGGCGCGGUCAGUACUUGGGUGGGUGACCACCUGGGAACACCGCGUGCCGUU
rnacentral:rRNA from 1 species